UACAGAGGUCUCAAGCGUUGUUCGGAUUCAUUGGGCGUAAAGCGUGCGUAGACGGCUAUCUAAGUCGGGUGUGAAAGCCCCGGGCUCAACCUGGGAAUUGCAUUCGAGACUGAAUAGCUAGGGUGCGGUAGAGGGAAGCGGAAUUUCCGGUGUAGCGGUGAAAUGCGUAGAUAUCGGAAGGAACAUCAGUGGCGAAAGCGGCUUCCUGGACCAGCACCGACGUUCAGGCACGAAAGCGUGGGGAGCAAACAGG
rnacentral:rRNA from 1 species